ACCCUUUUCUCCCCGCCGCCGCGCGAGGCGGGGGUGCCAGGGACUGGGUGCCGGUGGGGUCCGCUGCGAAUACUGGGGGUGGGCAGUUGGGACUCAGGGCCCCAGGCCCUCGGGGCUGCGGGGCCGCCUCUUCCAAACGCGCCUUAAGCGGUUUUGCAGUGGCUUUCCGCCGGAGGGCUGGGAGGCGCCCCGGCCCUGAGUCAGUCACCCUUUGGCCGGACAGGCGGUUCCCGGGCGCGGAGGAUGGAAACCUGGCGGUAACCUCUGCAGGUCGUGCCACUCGGUGUGCGCAAGGUCUCCAGAGGCAUCUUUUCAUUUUUAGGGGGCACUUUCCACGAAUUCAUUUGAGCUACACAGCAGUCCUGGGCAGUGGGGAGUGGUGAGCUCCAUUGUGUACACUUGGAAGCAGCCCAGAAAGCUUCUAGCACGGUGCUUUGUGCACAGUAAACACUCCAGCGGCUGUUGACCAAUGAAUGAAUGAAGAUUGUAGGCUCAAAUAUUCAAGUUAUCAAAGUGCAAAGAAUGAGAGGUUGUUUGCACUGGACUUCAAAAAUAAAUAGCCUGGACCUGUACUGUCUUACACAACAGCUAUGAGCUACUGGUAUGUGGCUAGUCCAAACUGAAAUGCCCUUUAAGAGUAAAACACACACUGGAUUUCAAAGACUUAGUACAAAGAAAAAAUGCAAAAUAGCUCAUUAGUAAUUUUUAUGUUAAUGACAUGUUGAAAUAACAUUUUGAUAUAUUAAGUAAAAUAUAGUAUUAGAAUUAAUUUC
ensembl:lncRNA DHCR24-DT DHCR24 divergent transcript